AUGCCCCGCUUCCUUUCCUGGGGCGUACAGUCUCAGUCCUCUCCUCCAAUCGGCCCACGCCUCCCUCCUUCCAUUCCACUUACCUGGAAGCCAUCACUGACUCUCACUUCCCCCCUUCUCUCUCCCAGUCCCCUCCCCACCCAGUUCUUCUCCCCAUCCCCCUUCGCCCACCCCAAACCACAGAUCUGCAGCCCCACCCCCCACCUCCAACCCUGGGCCCAUCAGCCUUCAUCCGCCAUCUUUCUCCCCAUCCCUCAUAUUCCCUCUCCAUUAGCCUUUCCCAUCCGGACCCUCUGUCUUCAUCCUACCCAGCCCAGCCCACCCGCCUCCUUCUCCCACUCUCCCCCCAUGGCCCCGCCCCAGACACGCAGGGAGGAAUCCAGGGCUGCAGAGGGGAUCAGGUGGUCAGCCAGGGAAGGAGGCGGCAUCUGCUGGAGAGACUCACAGACAGACAAGGACACACGGACACAGAGGCAAGGGCAUAGCCAGACAUGCACGAUCCACUCCCCCCACCUCCCCAGCCCCCUCAGGUGCAGACAGGCGCCCUCAGCCAGGCCCUCAGUCUCCCUGCCCCGGCUGUCCUGCUCCCCCCGGCGCCCCCAUAUCAGCUUCCCCAGAUUAGGGGCUGGACACACAGCACAGCCCCAGGCCACGCGCCGCACUGCGGAGCCCCCCAUCCAGGCCUGGAAGGAGAGGGAGAGGUCAUCGGGCGUUCAUCCCACCGCCUGGACCUGUCCCCACCCGGCCGGGGACGCAGAGGGGUUUCAACACCCCCAGACACAAACACCGGCUCUCAGACACACCCAGGCACGAAUGCAGACAGUCAGACGCAACCUGGGCCACUCGGUCGCCGGCAGACGGUGCUGGCAGGACCUGACCGAGCCGCGAGCUCCCACACGCACACGCGCACGCACACACACACGGGGCGUGCGGCCGCAGCAGGUCAGGCAGACAGGCCGAGGCCGGCCGGUGCCCCCCGGACCCGCACAAAGACGCCAGCGCACGCCGCAGACCCGCGGCCCCAGGCGGCCCCGCGCACACGCCCAAGGCGGCAGGGCAGACGCACCGGCCGCGACCCGCGGACCCGGCCCGGGAGCG
rnacentral:lncRNA from 1 species